CUCUGGGAUUCGGUGACGGCCGAGAUCCUCGAGCGCUGCAAGCGCUCGUUUCCGUCGUUCGACGUCGCGCACCGGAUG
rnacentral:tRNA from 1 species